rnacentral:lncRNA from 1 species
UGAUUUCUCCAAUCGUUGAAUAAUAUUUUGUUGUGCUUAUAUUGUUCACUAUUUAUAUAUAUAUGGAUAUAUAUUGUCCUCUAAUUGUUAUUCAAGUGAUGCAGUAAGGUUUUGUCUCACGGAAAAAUGUUGUGCUUUCUCGGAGGAAAAUUGAGGAGAUAUUUUAUUGAGAAAUUUCAUGACCUGAAUAUGUGAUAGAAAAGACGUCGCUUAGAAAUAUUCUAAGUAGACUUAUGAUUGUGACUCAUGAAAUAUUUGAGAGAUACCAUAAACUAUAAUAUGGUAUAUUGUGGAUUAUCCAUUGUAUUAGAAUAAUACAAUGAUGAUUAAUAAAACUUUCGAUAAGAAAAUAAAUAUUUGUGUGGAUUAGUUUUUCCAAUGUGGG